AGUCGAGCGGAGAUGUACUGAAGAUUUAUCGGAUGUACAUCUUAGCGGCGGACGGGUGAGUAACGCGUGGGCAACCUGCCUUCCACUGGGGGAUAACACAGGGAAACCUGUGCUAAUACCGCAUGACAUCACAUAGGGCAUCCUGUGUGAUCAAAGGAGUGAUCCGGUGGAAGAUGGGCCCGCGUCCGAUUAGCUAGUUGGUGAGGUAACGGCUCACCAAGGCGACGAUCGGUAGCCGGACUGAGAGGUUGGCCGGCCACAUUGGGACUGAGACACGGCCCAGACUCCUACGGGAGGCAGCAGUGGGGAAUAUUGCGCAAUGGGGGGAACCCUGACGCAGCGACGCCGCGUGAAGGAAGAAGGCCUUCGGGUUGUAAACUUCUUUGAUGAGGGACGAAGGAAGUGACGGUACCUCAAAAACAAGCCACGGCUAACUACGUGCCAGCAGCCGCGGUAAUACGUAGGUGGCGAGCGUUGUCCGGAAUUACUGGGUGUAAAGGGCGUGUAGGCGGGGAUGCAAGUCAGAUGUGAAAUACCGCGGCUUAACCGCGGGGCUGCAUCUGAAACUGUGUCUCUUGAGUGUCGGAGAGGAAAGCGGAAUUCCCAGUGUAGCGGUGAAAUGCGUAGAGAUUGGGAGGAACACCGGUGGCGA
rnacentral:rRNA from 1 species